GGUUGUAAUACCACAGUAGUUAAUUCUGCUUAAUUGAGACUUUUUCGCCGCCUAAGUGGACACUGCCCUCUAGUGGUGACAAAAGAGUAAAACGCGCUACAGGUAAAAUUCAAUAUGGCGGAGAAGACAAGAGAACGGUCUGGUGGUCACUCCAAACCGAAACAUCGACGAGCGCGUUUAGUGCUCUACGAUGCUGCACCUCCAGCGGGUCCUGGCGCUGGAGAAGAUGACGGUGACACAGGUCAACGGCCAGCGGAAGUACGGAGGCCCACCAGAGGGUCUUCCUCGCGGUCCAGCACAGUACGGAGAAGAGGAAACUGUGCUUUGGAGAGCUGCCGGCCUCCACCAGGCAGGAGGACCUGCUGCAGUGCUGCAAGGGCUUGCAGAGGGGGUGAAGCGGUUGUCCCUGAAGCCGGACCUGAAGGGGGUGUCCGCCAUAGUGGCCUUCUCUACCCAUCACACGGCUUCUAUGGCCAAGAAGGGGCUGGUGGAAGCGUUCAAGAGGCAUUUUAAUUUAACUGUCAUGGUCAAGUGGCACACACGAUGAGCCCAAAGGAGCCAUGGGCUCAUCAGAAGCCCUCCCGCUACCUCCCCUACACCGUUGGACGGAACUGUCCAAUAAAUGCAGAACACUUGUUCA
rnacentral:lncRNA from 1 species